rnacentral:lncRNA from 1 species
CUCAGGGAUGACAUUAAAACAGGUGCUAUGCCUGCAGAUAGCUUAUGGGCCCUGUGUUAGGCUGAAUAGGAAGGUUUAGUAGCAGGGAGCUGGGAUGUUCUUUGCUAGUGAAUCUUAGUGUGAAAGCUGGUCUGGGAAUCUCUCUGGUAAAUUCCUCGUGAAUAAGAAACAGUAUCUACAAGACAGAUGACCAUAUGGAAAACAUGGAGAAAUGCAAGACUACUGCACGAUGAAAUCUGGACAAUUUGAAUCUUACUGGACCAUCACACCUGGAGAAAACCUGGGCACCUGUGCUGUUAGAGAAAGGCUCUAGCUGUUCUUUGGACCCCUCAAUAUUUAUUUUUUUAAAUAUUUUUAUUUUUAAUAUAUGAAGAAAGAAGGCUUUUUUUGACUUCUUUCACAUUUUCUCAGCCAUUCCUCUCCUAUCAGAUGAUGGUCAGAAACACGUUUUUCUCUGAAAUUUCCUUUCAAUUUGAACUAAUCUGACAAAGCAGAGUUUAAACUGCAAAAUUAAAUUAUUGCUGUAAUUUCUUCAUCUAUGUGCUUAAUUUAAUUAUAUUAUGACAGUAAUCAUGAAAGCAAAUCUAGUUUUUGCAUAAAGCAACCAAUAGCAAGAUUCACAUUCUUUUUGGCUGGUCAUAAUGUGAAGAUCUGUUAUCUGUAAAUCUUUCCACAAAAGCUCCUUUUAAAUGAUCAGUGUUUCCUUCCAUACACAUUAAGAAAAUAAC